AGAGUUUGAUUAUGGCUCAGGAUGAACGCUGGCGGCGUGCUUAACACAUGCAAGUCGAACGGGAAUACUUUUAGCUUGCUAAGUUGUAAUUCUAGUGGCGGACGGGUGAGUAACGCGUGGGUAACCUGCCUUAUACCGGGGGACAACAGUUGGAAACGACUGCUAAUACCGCAUAAGCGCACAGUCUCGCAUGAGACAGUGUGAAAAAACUCCGGUGGUAUAAGAUGGACCCGCGUCUGAUUAGCCAGUUGGCGGUGUAACGGACCACCAAAGCGACGAUCAGUAGCCGGCCUGAGAGGGUGAACGGCCACAUUGGGACUGAGACACGGCCCAAACUCCUACGGGAGGCAGCAGUGGGGAAUAUUGCACAAUGGAGGAAACUCUGAUGCAGCGACGCCGCGUGAGUGAAGAAGUAUUUCGGUAUGUAAAGCUCUAUCAGCAGGAAAGAAAAUGACGGUACCUGACUAAGAAGCCCCGGCUAACUACGUGCCAGCCGCGGC
rnacentral:rRNA from 1 species